GACUUCCUGCCCCGCCAGAGCCAGGAAGCGGGAGCCGGGACCCAGGGCCCGGGAUCGCCGAGCCCGACCUCGGGCGCCCCGCCGGUCACCUCCGCGCGGACACCAGGUACUCGGUCCCCGGCCCCGCCCGGCCUCCUCCCCUCGGCUGUUGGGGGAAGUGGGGAGGAGGAGGGAGGGGCUGGGGCGCUGCCGGCAGCGGAGGGGCCCCCUUCGGACCCCACGGAACCAGCGGCCGCCCCUCCUUGGGCCUCAGUUUUCCCAUCUGUCAAAGGGAGCAAAGAGGGGAGAACUCACACUUGACGAGUGCCCCAUAGGUGGGGACGAACGGUGCGAGGCCGGGGCCAAGGCCUCCCACCUGCUCAGUGGAGAACGGACGAUCACUACCAUUGUACGGGUGGGGAAACCGAGGCCCGGGGAGCCAAACCGACUCGUCCCAGGGAACGCACAUCGUGAGAAAGUGUGGAGUUGGGAUUUGAACUCGCACGUGCUUUCCGCAAAGCGCCAUCCUCCAACCCCCGCAUGCUUUAGGGCCACCUAAAAAUGAAAAACAACAAUAACAACAACGACGAGGGUCGCUGUGAAGCUGAAAGUUGCAGAGUGCAUUUGAAAGAGUUUUCGGAAAGCUCUUUUCUAGGUCAUUAAUUAUACCGUGAGAGACAGGUGUAGGGAGAGAGCUGGAGGCCUUCUCCCAUUGUACGGAUGGGAAGACUGAGGUCUACAGAGAAGUCAUUACUUUUUGCAGAUUACACUGCAUGUCAGAGGGAAAGUUGUGCUGGAACUCAAGACUAUUGCUUUUCCGGUUCCAAAGGAAGGGGCUGGGGGUGGGAGACGGAGGGGAUUGAUGUACGAGGAUUGGAAAUUCAGCGGGUCCCCUAAGUGGGGAGACUAAUAGGACGGGGAGCCCCAGUCCGCCGUCCGAGUGCUCAGCGCUGGGGUGACUAGGAGAUCUCCGAUCGAACUCGGGAGGAGUUGGACCCAUCUGCACCUCCGGGCGCGGGGCGGGGCCCGGGGAGUGACGGGGGCAGUCGAGAUACGGAAACGCUGGCCCUCCAAGACAGGCCAGAGCGGCCCUAUCUGGCCUGCGUGGCGCAGUACAGCGCUAGAGCGGCCGGCGGGAGGAGUAGAGUCGUCGGGGCCGGAGCCCGGCAGGAGCCGGGCUAGAGCGGCUGGCAGGAGGAGUGGAGCUGGGCGCAAAGGUGGACUCAGGGCGGCUAGAGCGACGCGGCGGCAGGGGUGGGGAGAGUGCGGAGCCCGAGCGCGGAGGCUUCGGUUCCGGUGGCGGCGAUGGCUUCUCUUUCCACCUGGAGCAGCCCUGCAGAGCCCAGGGAGAUGGAAGACUUCGCCCGAGGGGCGGCCUCCCCAGGCCCCUCCCGGCCUGGCCUGGUUCCCGUCAGCAUCAUCGGGGCUGAGGAUGAGGAUUUUGAGAACGAGCUGGAGACAAACUCAGAAGAGCAAAACAGCCAGUUCCAGAGCCUGGAGCAGGUGAAGCGGCGCCCAGCCCACCUCAUGGCCCUCCUGCAGCACGUGGCCCUGCAGUUUGAGCCAGGACCCCUGCUUUGCUGUCUGCAUGCCGACAUGCUGGGCUCACUGGGCCCCAAGGAGGCCAAGAAGGCCUUCCUGGACUUCUACCACAGCUUCCUGGAGAAGACAGCGGUUCUCCGGGUGCCGGUCCCUCCCAACGUCGCCUUUGAACUUGACCGCACUAGGGCUGACCUCAUCUCCGAGGAUGUCCAGCGGCGGUUCGUGCAGGAGGUGGUGCAAAGCCAGCAGGUAGCCGUGGGCCGGCAGCUGGAGGACUUCCGUUCCAAGCGGCUCAUGGGCAUGACGCCCUGGGAGCAGGAGCUGGCCCAGCUGGAGGCUUGGGUUGGGCGGGACCGAGCCAGCUACGAGGCCCGGGAGCGGCACGUGGCGGAGCGGCUGCUCAUGCACCUGGAGGAGAUGCAACAUACCAUCUCUACCGACGAAGAAAAGAGUGCUGCCGUGGUCAACGCCAUUGGCCUGUACAUGCGCCACCUUGGGGUGCGGACCAAGAGUGGAGACAAGAAGUCGGGGAGGAACUUCUUCCGGAAAAAGGUGAUGGGGAACCGGCGGUCGGACGAGCCUGCCAAGACCAAGAAGGGGCUGAGCAGCAUCCUGGAUGCCGCCCGCUGGAACCGGGGAGAGCCCCAGGUUCCAGAUUUUCGACACCUCAAAGCAGAGGUUGAUGCCGAGAAGCCAGGUGCUACAGACCGGAAGGGAGGCGUGGGGAUGCCCUCUCGGGACCGGAAUAUCGGGGCUCCUGGGCAGGACACCCCUGGAGUCUCUCUGCACCCUCUGUCCCUGGACAGCCCAGACCGGGAACCAGGUGCUGACGCCCCCCUGGAGCUGGGGGACUCAUCCCCGCAGGGCCCAAUGAGCCUGGAGUCCUUGGCGCCCCCAGAGAGUACCGACGAGGGGGCCGAAACCGAGAGGCUAUCAGGGCGUCUGGGGCGCUCAGAGAGCCUGCGGGUGAGUGACCGCCGCCGGCCUUCCCGGGGCAGCCUCGGGGCUAAGGGCCGGGGUGGGGGCCGCUCCCGGAGCGACGUGGACAUGGACCCCAGUUCCGCCACGGCAGUGCUUGGCCCUGCCCGACGAGCCACCCCCGAGCCUGGAGAUGAGGGGGAGCCGGGGCGGUCGGGACUGGAGCUUGAACCAGAAGAGCCUCCCGGCUGGCGGGAACUCGUCCCCCCAGACACCCUGCACAGCCUGCCCAAGAGCCAGGUGAAGCGGCAGGAGGUCAUCAGCGAGCUGCUGGUGACAGAGGCGGCCCACGUGCGCAUGCUGCGGGUGCUGCACGACCUCUUCUUCCAGCCCAUGGCAGAAUGCCUGUUCUUCCCCUUGGAGGAGCUGCAGAACAUCUUCCCCAGCCUGGACGAGCUCAUCGAGGUGCAUUCCCUGUUCCUCGAUCGCCUGAUGAAGCGGAGGCAGGAGAGUGGCUACCUCAUCGAGGAGAUCGGAGACGUGCUGCUGGCCCGGUUUGAUGGUGCUGAGGGCUCCUGGUUCCAGAAAAUCUCCUCCCGCUUCUGCAGCCGCCAGUCAUUUGCCUUAGAGCAGCUCAAAGCCAAGCAACGCAAGGACCCUCGGUUCUGUGCCUUCGUGCAGGAAGCUGAGAGCCGCCCGCGGUGCCGCCGCCUGCAGCUGAAGGACAUGAUCCCCACGGAGAUGCAGCGGCUGACCAAGUACCCCCUGCUCCUGCAGAGCAUCGGGCAGAACACAGAAGAGCCCACAGAACGGGAGAAAGUGGAGCUGGCAGCCGAGUGCUGCCGGGAAAUUCUACACCACGUCAACCAAGCCGUGCGUGACAUGGAGGACCUGCUGAGGCUCAAGGACUAUCAGCGGCGCCUGGACUUGUCCCACCUUCGGCAGAGCAGCGACCCUAUGCUGAGCGAGUUCAAGAACCUGGACAUCACCAAGAAGAAAUUGGUCCACGAGGGCCCACUGACGUGGCGGGUGACUAAGGACAAGGCAGUGGAGGUGCAUGUGCUGCUGCUGGACGACCUGCUGCUGCUGCUCCAGCGCCAGGACGAGCGGCUGCUGCUCAAGUCCCAUAGCCGGACACUGACGCCCACGCCCGAUGGCAAGACCAUGCUGCGGCCCGUGCUGCGGCUCACCUCCGCCAUGACCCGCGAGGUGGCCACCGAUCACAAAGCCUUCUACGUCCUUUUUACCUGGGACCAGGAGGCCCAGAUAUACGAGCUGGUGGCACAGACUGUGUCGGAGCGGAAAAACUGGUGUGCUCUCAUCACUGAGACUGCCGGAUCCCUGAAAGUCCCUGCCCCUGCCUCUCGCCCUAAGCCCCGGCCCAGCCCGAGCAGCACCCGAGAACCCCUCCUCAGCAGCUCUGAGAACGGCAAUGGUGGCCGAGAGACGUCUCCAGCUGAUGCCCGGACCGAGAGAAUCCUCAGUGACCUCCUGCCCUUCUGCAGACCAGGCCCCGAGGGCCAGCUCGCUGCCACGGCCCUUCGGAAAGUGCUGUCCCUGAAGCAGCUUCUGUUUCCGGCGGAGGAAGACAAUGGGGCGGGGCCUCCUCGAGAUGGGGAUGGGGUCCCAGGGGGCGGCCCCCUGAGCCCAGCACGGACCCAGGAAAUCCAGGAGAACCUGCUCAGCUUGGAGGAGACCAUGAAGCAGCUGGAGGAGUUGGAGGAGGAAUUUUGCCGCCUGAGACCCCUCCUGUCUCAGCUUGGGGGGAACUCUGUCCCCCAGCCUGGCUGCACUUGAGGUUCCCGCCCAGGAAGCACCCCAUCCUCACCACCACCUGUGAGGUAGGAACUGCCAUGAUGGAUGCCCAUUUCACAGAUGUGGAAACUGAGGUUCUGACAGGAAAAGUAACUUGGCCAAAGUCCCACAGGGAUGAGGUCAGGCUCCGCCCCGCCAAGUCCCACACCACCUUCUCUGGGGAAAGGCAGCUCUCACCUGGGCAGCCCCUGGAGGCUUCUACCCCUAGAGGGGAAAAUAGGUCUCACGGCAAGACAGCAGUCCCCAGGUGGAUAUUCAGGGGCCAGGACAGCUCUGUCGGAUCUCACCAACCCCACCAGCGCCCAGGUGCUGAGACCGAGGUGCUGAGAGGCUAGAAGAGAACUUCAGCCCUGCCUGACAGAGAAGGUUCAGCCUCACUCCCGCUCACCACUCACUCAGGCAAGUCGCUAAACAUCCCCGAGCCUCAAGUUUCCUCAUCUGCAAAAUGGGACAAUAAUGACCUCCCUCCUAGAGUGGUUGGGAAGGUUAAACCGCAGGGCGCAUGGAGCACAGCUGGUACUGCACCAAGUACCAAGUAAACACGCAUUUGCUGUGAGCUUGCUGCUUCCGAAUAAUCUCAUUAAAAAUAUUAAGAAUUUUGCCAGA